rnacentral:rRNA from 1 species
UACAGAGGUCUCAAGCGUUGUUCGGAUUCAUUGGGCGUAAAGGGCGCGUAGGUGGCCUUUUGAGUCAGACGUGAAAUCCCCCGGCUUAACCUGGGAACUGCGUCUGAUACUGGAAGGCUUGAGUUCGGGAGAGGGAUGUGGAAUUCCAGGUGUAGCGGUGAAAUGCGUAGAUAUCUGGAGGAACACCGGUGGCGAAGGCGGCAUCCUGGACCGAAACUGACACUGAGGCGCGAAAGCCAGGGGAGCAAACGGG